UACGUAGAGUCCGAGCGUUGUCCGGAAUUACUGGGCGUAAAGAGCUCGUAGGUGGUUGUCGCGUUGUUCGUGAAACUCACAGCUCAACUGUGGGCGUGCGGGCGAGUACGGGCAGGCUAGAGUUCGGGUAGGGGAGACUGGAAUUCCUGGUGUAGCGGUGAAAUGCGCAGAGUAUCAGGAGGAACACCGGUGGCGAAGGCGGGUCUCUGGGCCGAUACUGACGCUGAGGAGCGAAAGCGUGGGGAGCGAACAGG
rnacentral:rRNA from 1 species